CUUUAACAAAUAUUCGCCUCUUGCGUUUCAUUUACACGGUUGUGCUUAUUGUAAACUUUUAGUGUUUCCCACUGGGCCGCAGGGAGUCCGUGGCUGCCGCCGUGACUCAUUACAUAGAGGAACUGGCCAGGUGUUUCUAUUUGGAACCAAUCGAUGGCGAGCUUGAACCUGGAGCUGGGGCUACUGUGUCUACUUGACAACUAGCAGAAACUAUUAGUCUGGUAGGAAGGCUGCCACAGCCUGGCACCCCACACACUCCAUGAACUCUGCCAAAUUGGGAGAACAUCCUGGAAGAAAACCAACGCUUCCCAUCCAACCUGAUGGAGCUUGAGAGGCGAUGCAAAGAGGAAGCUGCCCAAAGAUAG